GCGCGAAUGGUGAAAUUGGCAGACACGCUAGAUUUAGGCUCUAGUGCUUUAAACAGCAUGAGGGUUCGAGUCCCUCUUCGCGCACCA
rnacentral:tRNA from 2 species